CGAAUUUAAGAAAUUUUACAAAUGGAUACUCUUAGGUGAAAUAGUUGCAGUACAAUUCAUAUUUUCAAUAGUGGUAUAUUGCCUUUUAAAAGUGGACGCUUCUUUUGGAUAUAAAUUGAAAUUCAUUGGAAUAUUAGUGUUUAGGUUUGCGAUGGUUUGGUUUCAAUGUACUUUAGGAGAAGAUAUUAUACAUUUGCAUAGCAGCCUAUCUACUGAGUUAUAUGCCAUGACGUGGUACCAUAUGCCUAACCAAUACAAGAAAAUGAUAAUUAUUAUGUUUCAACGCACACAAAAAGAUUUAAC